rnacentral:lncRNA from 1 species
GCUAGAAAAGCUUCCAAUACGUCAAAGUACAAAGCCAUAAAAUAUGUGCCAAAAUGCACUGAUCACCUCUCCAAUAGUUUUUUCAUUCAACACUCUACUCCACCACAUGUAUAGUUAAGCCUUAAAUUUAUAUUUUUGUUUUUAUGAUUACAUAAAAUUACAAUUAUCGAUUAAAAUUAAAUUAAAAUAAUAAGCACUUAACAAUUGAAGCACUCCAAAUGCACGUUUGAUGUCCUUCCGAUAUCCCUCCUAGUAUUUUGCAAAUAACUUAUCGGGUUUACUUUAGGAAGUCUAAUCGAUUUGACGAAAGUUGGAUAAGAAGAGUAGAUACCGUCAGCUAGAUAGUAUGUCAUAUUAUAGAAACCUUGAUUCACCAAGAAAUUAACAGUGGGAGCAUUUCCUUGUUCCACGUCAUCAAACACUGAUGACGGGUCUAGAAAGUUUAUAUCGUUCAACUGCUUCAAAAAAUGCAUCCAAAAAAGGCAUGUCAGAUCCAUAAAUCAUGAGAUGCAAUUGCUUCAAGAAUAACUGUAGUGGUUCCCUAAAAAAAAGACUAAUACUUCAAGAUUAACACUAAUAUGAAGAUAAUAAUAAGAUUAUUAUAGUGAAAAAAUCCUUUUUUUUUUUCUGUGUCCAAAUCAAAUAAACAAAGUCUCUAUUUAUAGACAAAAAAAAAAUCAUGAAGUUUGGUAAAAAAAUAAAGAAUUAUUUUGCGAUGAAAUAAUUGAGUUCAAAGUAUUAAUAUGAUAAGAAUCCGUCCAGCCAAUCAGAUGUUAACAAGUGUCCCUAUCUUCUUGUCUCUCCGCGUGAAAUUUUCCCCACUCCCCCCCGCGCACAUCUCACGCGCCUGUUUUGGCAAAUUAAAUGAAGUCGUGUGUCUGCUUUAGUCAAGUUCAACUGUGUUGAAAGUUUUCAACUGUUCCCUCCUCCACAUCAUCUUCAACACCCUUCUUCCUAUCAUUCAACACAUUAAACCCCAUUCAACACCAAUUUGUUUUCCUAUUGCACAUGGUCUAAUGAGUUGUUUGCAUAACUUUCUUCUGCCACACCUCCAUUGAUGUGUAGUACCUGUCCUAAAUCCAUUAUUGUUUCUUAUAUCUUCUUUGAGAGUUGUUGUUUCUUGUAUCUUCUGUGAGAGUUGUUUUGUUUUUAUGCUUAUGCGUUUAAGUAUAGGCCAUGUAUACAUAUAUAUAGUCACGGACGGAGGC